rnacentral:rRNA from 1 species
UACGUAGGGACCAAGCGUUGUUCGGAUUUACUGGGCGUAAAGGGCGCGUAGGCGGCAUGACAAGUCACUUGUGAAAUCUCUGGGCUUAACCCAGAACGGCCAAGUGAUACUGUCGCGCUAGAGUGCGGAAGGGGCAAUCGGAAUUCUCGGUGUAGCGGUGAAAUGCGUAGAUAUCGUAAGGAAGACCAGUGGCGAAGGCGGGUCUCUGGACAGU